UGCUGAGGAAGUAAAAAGGAAUUCUUAUUUAUAAUUUAUACCCCACCUACUUCCAAAGAGAAUUUUAAAGGUGACUCACAAUGAAAAACCACAUAUGAAGCAAGAUCACUGAGUUAAAAAUUGAAACAUCAAGCCAUGGGAAUGAAGAAAGGGAAGCCUGUGUUACCUAUCACUACUGUGCCAAAGUCCUUCCUUUUGUCCAGACAUUCCACUUUACAAAAGAGGGCGACGGGAACGAUGAGGUGUGGCUCGAGCUGAGGGAAAGUUUAUCUAUUCUCUCUGGGUAGAGGCAUGGGGAGAACUCCCAUUAUCCAAUUUGACAAACUCCUGACCUGCUUUAGCAGUUGAAAAUCAUCGUUCAUGGAUGCUUGGAUGACACAGGGCUCACCUCCAAAAAGAAGUUCAACUGAUGCCAUGAGCUGCAGUCAACCCAACAGAUAGCUCUCUCCGAAUCUUCUCCACAACUCUGCCAUAUUCCCACCUGUGUAUUUGGCUUCCUGCAGCAAAUACCACAACAAGCCAGGGCCUGUAGCCAGCAUGAUGCCUCCUCUGAUGAAUAGGGUACAAAGUGGAGCCAGGAAAGCAGCAGGUGGGCCACCAUGGGGCCUGUGACAGGCAGGCUCAGCCAGAAAAAUGACAGAUGGAGAGAUGGAUUGAUCCAUGGAUUAUUAAAUCAUCAAGUUCUCGGCUUCUCUAACCUUCAUCGGGCCCUUGGAUCUCUGUCCAGGAACUCCAAACCCACCCCUACAAAGCAGGUAGAGCUGGACCUGGCAGCCCUCCACAGCCUUAGCCUUUGCCUCUGCCUCCGGGGGACUCUGGAUAGGAGACACAGGCACUCAGUUCUCACUCAGGGUGAGGCUGAAACCCAUAGGGUUCCUAUUUAAAGCCUGUCUCAUUCAUCAUUUCAGCACCAACCAACAAUUAACCCUGAUUCAGUCAAUGCCGACAACACAACCAGCCUUGCGCUGAUUAUUUAAAACUCUGUCCUGGCCUCUGGGGCCUUCAGAACCGGGACUGUUUGUCCUGCCAGGAACGAAGCCCCACCCUCCGGAUCCAGGAUCCCAAGGACAUAUGUAGGGUAUAGGGUCUGCUUAUGCAGCCCUGGCUGGAGCUCUCUCCACCUAGCUCACUGAGGGAGAUCUGAGAGGCUGGCUGGGAGGAACAGCUCUGAGAAGGCUCUGGGAGGACUCAGAGACGCCAGGAGAACAGGAAAAGGGACCUAGAGACAGAAGGAAAAAAAAAAA